rnacentral:rRNA from 1 species
UGGGGAAUAUUGCACAAUGGGCGAAAGCCUGAUGCAGCAACGCCGCGUGAGUGAUGAAGGUCUUCGGAUUGUAAAGCUCUGUCUUUUGGGACGAUAAUGACGGUACCAAAGGAGGAAGCCACGGCUAACUACGUGCCAGCAGCCGCGGUAAUACGUAGGUGGCGAGCGUUGUCCGGAUUUACUGGGCGUAAAGGGUGCGUAGGCGGAUGUUUAAGUGAGAUGUGAAAUACCCGGGCUUAACUUGGGUGCUGCAUUUCAAACUGGAUAUCUAGAGUGCAGGAGAGGAGAAUGGAAUUCCUAGUGUAGCGGUGAAAUGCGUAGAGAUUAGGAAGAACACCAGUGGCGAAGGCGAUUCUCUGGACUGUAACUGACGCUGAGGCACGAAAGCGUGGGUAGCAAACAGGAUUAGAUACCCUGGUAGUCCACGCCGUAAAACGAUGAGUACUAGGUGUAGGAGGUAUCGACCCCUUCUGUGCCGCAGUAAAACACAUUAAGUACUCCGCCUGGGAAGUACGAUC